rnacentral:lncRNA from 1 species
CUGACUUCAAACUGAUUUGGAUCAAGAUACAGUGACUUUAAGUGUGGAUAAGGCAUUCAGAGUUGAGGCUGGAUGAGUUCUGUCAUGCUUAUGAAGUCAUGAAAGCAUCUGGAUACACUACAGAAACCCUCAACCAAAAGCUUUUUGAAGUCUCUUUCUAAUACAAUCAUCCAGGCUUGCUCCACUAAACCAGGCUGCUCAACUAUCUGGAUAAGAAGACUCACCACCUUGGAAUUAGAGCUGGGAAAUGUUUUUGGAAAAACAGAAGAGGUGCUGGAGGAGAAUAGUGUUGUCUCUCUGGCCUGGCAGUGUUUUUAAGGAACCAUGACUGAACACAGAGGGAACAGGGAGAUCUGUUGAAAAUUGAAAAUACUGGAGACAGUAAAGUGUGUUGUGCAAGGGCUUCUGUUGGCCAGAAGAAGUGAAAUAACAGCUCACUUCCUAAAAUGGAGAUAUCCCCACAUUUUGUUCCUGGCUGAGGAGAACAGUAUUAUUUGCCAUAUAUCUGACAAGUACCAGGGCAUUUUGCACCCUAUAAAAUUCCUAUAAUUUACCUGAAACUGCCAGUAAAUUGACUUAAACCUAAAUAGUGUAUCUUCCUUGAAAAGAAGCCACUGUUCUGUGGGGUUUUUUUUUUUUUGUUUGUUGGUUGGUUCUUUUUGUUGUUUUUGUUUUGUUUGGUUUGAUUUUGGUUUUUUUUUUACUGGUUAGUCUGUUACUGCUUAUAUUGCUCCCAGAUUCCUUGGGGCUUAAAUGUUUCGGGCAUGUUGUUAGAACAACAAAUUAAAAUUGGAACUUGGAAAAUCCUGUAUUUGGAAUUUAUUUGCACAGUUAAGCAGCAAAAGACUGUUCCUUGAAAGGGGAGAGCAGUCAAGGUCCACUCAUGCAGUGUGGGGAAAAUGACUGGUAGGUGACAGUGGAGGAAACCCAAAUAUACUGUGGGACUCCUCACCCUGGGAACGAUUCAUCAUUCCAUCCAGAGGAGCAGGUAGCCUCCCUCUCUCUGUUUGGGAUCCUAAGAUUGCAAGUUUAUUUUGAUUUUAAUUUUAACUUCACUC